AAAAAAUAUACGGAACUCAAAACCCUUGCUCUUCUUCUUCCUUCCUUCCUUACAUAAUGUUGCGUGCGCCGUUUGCUCUGCCUUGUUCUCGCACCUCCGCGGUUGAUUGCAAUCUCCACCAUCACGGUACCAAGUUCGUAGAAGGGAGAUUCUAGCAAGCUCGUUAUCCUUAAGUUAUUUUCGUACUUCAAAAAGUCAAGAUGACUGGAGCAGAUUGAUCGUGAAGGAUUGCAGUUAGAAGUUAAAGGAGCUCAAAUAUUAUCGUUUAGUCUUGUAUGACAGUUUAAUACUUUUUAGUUUAAAUAGACCACCUAGUAAUCGAGUUGUAAUAGUUUGAUUUUUGUAAGCCUUAGCACUUGAUAAUGUGAUCAAGUGUGGCGGUGAUACCUUCGAUCUAGAUGUAAGCUUCCGCAAUUUAUUAUAAAGUCUUUUAUAUUUCUAUUUAGUUCUAGUAGUAAAUCGGGGGUGUUACAUUCAUGGUAGUAGCCCAUGGCCUUUUCUGGGACCGGAUUGAUCACCAUGUUCUAUUUUUAUUCAAAAAUUCCUCGAUAUCGCAGGUCACUGAGUUUACGGAGUCGCGCCCGUACCUCGUCUUCCUUAGUGAAGCUUCUAGCUAGAC